rnacentral:rRNA from 1 species
GACGAACGCUGGCGGCGUGCUUAACACAUGCAAGUCGAACGGAAAGGCCCUGCUUUUGUGGGGUGCUCGAGUGGCGAACGGGUGAGUAACACGUGAGUAACCUGCCCUUGACUUUGGGAUAACUUCAGGAAACUGGGGCUAAUACCGGAUAGGAGCUCCUGCUGCAUGGUGGGGGUUGGAAAGUUUCGGCGGUUGGGGAUGGACUCGCGGCUUAUCAGCUUGUUGGUGGGGUAGUGGCUUACCAAGGCUUUGACGGGUAGCCGGCCUGAGAGGGUGACCGGCCAAGGUGGAGCGGGGCAGCGGCCCAGACGCAGGGGGGGGGAAGGGGGGGGGAAGAUGGAGGCGGGGGGGGAAGCCUGAUGCAGCGCUGCGGGGUGGGGGGGGCGGGGCUGAGGGUUUAACGCGGCUUGCCGCUGGGGGGAGGGGGGGGGGAGGGUAGUGGAUAAAGAAGCACGGGCUAACUCCGUGCCAGCAGCUGGGGUAUUAGAUCGAAGAGCACACGUCGAUC